rnacentral:rRNA from 1 species
UACGUAGGGUCCGAGCGUUGUCCGGAAUUAUUGGGCGUAAAGAGCUCGUAGGCGGUCUGUCGCGUCGGUCGUGAAAACUUGGGGCUUAACCCUGAGCUUGCGGUCGAUACGGGCAUGACUGGAGUUCGGUAGGGGAGACUGGAAUUCCUGGUGUAGCGGUGAAAUGCGCAGAUAUCAGGAGGAACACCGGUGGCGAAGGCGGGUCUCUGGGCCGAUACUGACGCUGAGGAGCGAAAGCGUGGGGAGCGAACAGG